rnacentral:rRNA from 1 species
CACCGGCGGCUCGAGUGGUGGCCCCUUUUAUUGGGUCUAAAGCGUCCGUAGCCGGCUUGGCAAGUCCCCUGGGAAAUCUGGCGGCUUAACCGUCAGGCGUCCAGAGGAUACUGCCAGGCUUGGGACCGGGAGAGGUGAGAGGUACCUCAGGGGUAGGGGUGAAAUCUUGUGAUCCCUGAGGGACCACCAGUGGCGAAGGCGUCUCACUAGAACGGGUCCGACGGUCAGGGACGAAAGCUGGGGGCACGAUCCGG